GUUUCCUAGCCGUUUGUAUUACACAUUCACUACCACUAAGACAGAGAAGCACGAAACCCACCACCCGCUUGAUCUUAACACAAGCACUCCCCUGGUUAUGGGACUAACGCUGAACUGGACGAACACGUAGUCGUUUUACCAUGAGGCUGCUGAGAGAUGAGAAUCAAUGAAGAACAGAACCGUUAAAUCAUAUUAUUUAUUACUUUUAUUUUAUUAAUGUUUAAUUCAUUGAUGAGCCUGAAUGAAAGGUUCAUGACGCCACAUGGAAGCGAAUUCCUGACUCAUUGGACAAACAACAGUAACUGCAACCUUCACGCGUUUAGGGAAACAACUAAGCUGGAGCUGAGUCAGCCAGAAACCAAACCAGAUACCAGAAGAUUUCCCAACAUGUGGCGAGAACGGCGCAGGCUUCAGUUCCAAAGCUGAUCUGUGUCAUUCAGGAAGCUCCAAACUGUAGAAAUGAUGAACAAGUCAAGUAGUGAGAGUCUCCGACUAAUGGAGAUCACCUGGGAGGCAGGAGGUCAGACGUUCCCCAGAGGUUUGCAGGAGCCAGCUGUUCCACACACAGGAAGUCGUGCUGGCGGCUUGGAUCCUGUCCAGGGCCACGGUGCUGUGGAGCCAUAUGCUCGCUCUGGGUCAGCACCUCCAUCAGGGGUCAGGGCACAUUCACCAGGAUUCACCCGGACACGGCCCGCUGCCGCUGCGGUGGGAUCAGAGCGGGUCGGAGCGGCUCCGGAGGACGGCGGCGCCGACGAGGGGUCCGGUUCCCCGUCAGCGGGUGGAGGGAGGAGGCGGAGCGCGGUCCCCUGGGGUUAGACCCUCGCUCCUCCUCCCAUUUCUCCCCAACGUCGCUUCCUUCACGUGCGCACGGCCUCAUCGUACAGAAUUUGCGUUUGCACGGGAAGACAGAAACAAAGGGACGGGUGCGUCACGUCGCUCAGACCUCUUGGCGGCGUCCUGAUUGGAGAUGAUUGAGUGGCGUCCUAUGAAGUGGCCCCAUCUCUCUGCUCCUCACCUGAGUAAAUGGCCUCUUGUCUGCCUCCAGCUCUUGAUUACUGCUCUUGAUCGGAGCCGGCGUGUGUGUGUGUGUGUGUGUGUGUGUGUGUGUGUGUGUGUGUGUGUGUGUGUGUGUGUGUGUGUGUGUGUGUGUGUGUGUGUGUGUGUAAUGAUUAAAAGCCUGUGUUGAACUCAGACUGCUCCGGUUCCUUCAUGAAGGUGAUAAUGUUCAGUUUGCACGUUUUGGAGAGUUGCUGAUUCAAUUUUAAGCUUGUUGUGGCGGCUACAAUUAGUUCUGUUGAAUUCUAUUCAUAACACUCUCUUCCCCACAUUCAUCUCGAUAAAGUCGGGCUAAACAUCAGAAACACAGCAACGGGUUGAGAGAGUUUCUCUCCAUAAACAUGAUGAUUUGUGCUGCUGUGUGAGCAUGUGUCAGCUCUAGCGUCACUGGACGUUGUGUUACGCAAACAGGAGAGUGGAGGAGAAACGUAAGGAAUUAGUUUGAUGCUGCAACGUUGAAUUCAUUCUGAGUCAUGGCCUCAACAGUAACAUUAGCUGUAAAAUCCUCUAGUGCAGUUGAACGUCCCGCCAUCGUCCUACGACUGGUUCCAGGAGCUGCACGUGCAGCACAGCCUCAGAACCAGAACCAGACGCAGAACCCCGGCAGAUGACGGGUUCUGGACGGUUAUGCAGCUUCUCGUCCAACCUCCUCCUUCGCUCGUCUAAUCACCGGCUGCACUUGGUUCCAGUGAAACCGGUUCUGCAGCAGCUGCUGCGCUUUGAGCCCAUCGUCUUUAUUCAGAACAGGCAAAUUAGAAAAAGAAGUGAGCGCGCGUGUGGGGCAGCGCACACCUGAGCAGGAUGGUCUCUUUGUGAACGCCUGGAUGAGCUCGCGUGCUGUCUGCUGGAUCCUCCUGCUACCUGUACGUGCUGAGAAACACCAGCGCUGACCAGCCUCCAUCCGCUGCCACUUUUACAAACACAUUUGUGUAAUUUGGCAAGUUCCUUCAAAUGGAAAUAAUGCGCCUGCGUCUGUUUGCCUCCGUCGUGGUUCCUGGUUAAGAUUAGGAGGAGCUUUUCAUCGCACUCUCCUCCUUCAAUACACAGAAGACGAGACAGAGAAGAAAUAGAAUUAGACGGUGAAGGUGUGGAGGGUGAAGCAGAGUUUUAGUUACAGAGUUUUCUCUAUGAUGUCACUGAACAGCAACGUGUCUGUGGUUACUGUACAAGCUCAACAUUCAGCUUUUAACUGUGUUUGUCAUUUGUGCAGCUUGAACCUGAGCAGCGUUACCUAAAAAAAAGAGCCCUCUCGAUAGUCUAAGCCCACGUUCAUGUUAAUAUUUAGUAGCAAAUCUUCACAUCCGACCGUUUCAGUUUGAGUGGGAUGAUGCUGAUCUCCACUGACCACUGAUCCACAGCUCACAGUGAACCCGCUGACGCUCUAAUCGCAGCAGCAUCAGACAAAGCAGCGCUCCACACCAGGACUACACGUCUCCAGUUGGUCAGUCGCGCUCACUAAAUGCACAGUAGGAUCCGCGCUGCGCUGACGGCAGUCGCUCUCGUCACAGCUCAGCUACGCCGCCGCCGUUCACUCACCUCUAUGACCCGACGUUCAGCAGCAAACAGUGUACCAAAGCAAAGCAUACCAAAGCCAGGAUUCCUCCGCGUCACACGCUGUAGCCACAGUCUCCCAGAGGUUUGGACAAUAACCCGGGCUCCAGCCGGACCCGGGCAUCCAGUCAACCAGGCUGUGCUGCAAAUAGGAGCAGCAACACUAUGCAGGAAGACGGAUUAUUACCCGUAACUGAACUCAGUGGUUCAGCCUUUUUCUAAAACCUGUUCACAUUUUACUGCCACAUACAGUUUAAGGAGUUCAUCAUUGUUUUCCUCACGCACUGAGGACGAUUGGAGAUUGAUUGGAGCGUUGACACAUGCAGCUCGGUAAGGUUGGAGACAGAUUAAGAUCUGAACCCUGAACCCUUGUGGACGCGUUGCAGCUGUAGUUCACUAUUUGGAUCCAGCUUGGAACUAUUGUUGUGUUGAGUGCCUCCAUAUUCGCUGCAAAGACGCUGAGAGACACCAGACGAUGGGCUUCACAGCAGGACACGCCUGUUGUGGGAGUUUGUCUGGAAGCUGGUGAUGCUCCUACAGUGUGAGUUGGAUGAGACUCGGUAGAUGGUUGUGGCUCGUGUCUCUCCUCAGCUUCAGGACGACCGGACGCGAGGCUAGCGUUAGCUAGUGAACGCCCCCCCUCCCCGCCAGGAUAACGGGCGGCGAGCGAGUGCGACCCCCACGGGGAGGCGAGGUUAGCUUUCUGCUGCUGCUGCAACUCAGUCACGGCCGGAGGCCUCGCGGCGGCGGCGGUGGAGGAGGAGGGUGGGGUGCGCGAUUGUGCCGCGUCUUCACUUCGCGUGGCUGCCGGCUGCACCCCCUCCCCCUCCUCCCCCUCCUCCCCCUCCUCCCCUCACAGGUAAAGCCUCCUUGUGACCCUCCUUUCGAGCCCAGGGCACCGCGGCGCCCCCCACUCCCCCCCGCUGCUAAGCUGCCAUUUUAAAUCCACGACGGCGAGGCCUCGGCCCCGCGGCCCCGUGUGUCCGCGACAAGGAGACGCCGCUAAGUGAGGAUCCGGUGAGUGUGACACCGUGGUGAGUCACGAACGCACCACACGCGUGUGCGCAGUGGGAGGCAGCUCUCUGGCACAGCUUGGCCGCGAUCCGGGGCUUCCCUCCCUCCCUCCCGCCGCCGUGGACCCGAUGCCAGGCCCGGCUUGGAAGGAGGUCACAUUCUCCAAGGUGUGUCUAAACAGAGAUGACAUGUGGAUGUGCAGGCUGCGCUCGCCCUCGUACCACCACAUCCCUCGCCUUGUUUUCUUUCCCCUCCGUUUCUCUCCCCGGUUCCCCACCGAACAGACGCUCUCUGCCAGAGAAAACAGAACCAUUGUUGGUUUUAAUGGUUGUUCCAUUCCCCAAGUAAAAAUACCUAUAAAGUAGAGAAGCAGCUUGACAACUGGAAUGAUGCUGCUGUUAAUUCGGGCACACUGUUGCUCCGAUCGCCUCAGGACUUCUCUCUGUCACUUUUCAUUAAACACUUUUCCUACUGACUGACAUGUUUGUGAAAAUAUAUCUCCGUGACUUAUUACCUUCAUAACAUAAAAGCGUAGCAUUUACAUUAAAUAAUGUAUCAUCAAAACUUUCCCAGGAAAACAUCUAAUUACUCGCCUAUGGACUGUAGCUAUAAUAACAAAUCCAUGAAUUAAUACAAAGUGUCAAACAGCGUGAGCGGCUUCGGUUAAUUUACAUAUUUAUAAAAUGAUCUGUUUAGUGGAUGUUGAUUUUGGCCAAAUUCCUGAUUCCUGAGCUGUGAUGUGCGAGUGGAACCUUCCUGUGAAAUAGGAUCUAGGUCUCCCUUCAGACUUAGUCACAAGGUGAGCAGCGCGGUGAGAUGUCCCCUCCAGACAGGUUUAGGAGAUAAAAAAAGCAUCUUUUUAUUUCUGUUGGCUGACAUUUAAUGUAAGUUCAAGGGAAAAACUAAUAAACAUCAAAUUGUAUAUCUAAUUGUGAGGUGUUCUUUUAAUUUAUCUUAAACUUAAAUUGUUAUUAAUCUUAGCAAACUACUGGUUCAGGUCAUGUAGAGUCUGCGUGUCCUGAUUCUACUCGCUGCGUUCAUCACAACCUACAUCGUAAAGUCCGGGGGCUCAGAACCUAAACAAUAGGCUGGUAAGUGUGAGACUGGACCUGGGGCUUAAAACAUGAUGUGGUGUCACCUUGACAUCACACGCGCUGGAGGAUGUGGAUGAUAAAAUGAGAUGAACUUUAUUUAUUCUAUAGUGGGGACGUUUUAAUGCCAAAGCAGCUACAACGAAAAAAAAGAGUCAGGAAAUAGAAAUUGUGCAGAAUUAAAAAGAACAUGUAACAUGUAAAACAUGUGCUGCUUCGAAGUCACGCAUCAACAGGGGAGUUGGAGGAGACGCAGUCCUUAAGUUCAGCUUAAGCAUCAUUAAAAUGAGCAAUAGGUAACAUUUCCAUUUUAAAUCUCAGGUCCAAGAUGCUCCCGCGCCUUCUCUGCUGAUAAGCGUUUCAGAGCUGACAGCGCAGGAUCACAGCCUUCUGCUAAAUUGAAAUGCUACCUACACUCAGUGGAUUGCUUCGGCUUGCAUCAUUUCGCAUCCCUGGCGGAAGUACUGCUUACGACGGUGGGAAAGUGCUAACAAACCUGAGAUCAGAUUGAACACAGCUGAGGAACGUUGCGUAGGGUCCAAGGUGUCGGGUUCGUCGCGGGCCAGAUCGGACUCAGACCUGUCGGGUUUGGAUUUACUGCCUUCGUGGAAGAGCUCAGAGCAUCACGUGCACCUGGUUCAGGAGAGUCGAUCAAAGCGGGGACUUCACCAAGUGCAGCCCACAAAACACAUCCCAGUGAGGUCACCGUGGUUUCUGUCCAGAGCAGCGCAGGGCUGUGUGAUGCUGUGGAGAGGACAACCUCUCACACACCUGAAAACACAGAGGUCGUGAAGCAGUUCGCUUGCUCGAGUAUAACGUCCCAUAACGCGUUACACAGAUUAGGACAGAGCAAGUUUGUCCACCGUCCACUGUAUGUUAGUGUUACAUUACAUCAUAGGUCAAUUAGGGAAUAAAGAAAUAAAAGGAAAAGGUGCAAGUUUACUGUCCUGCAGCAAAGAUGAGUGACAGCAGCAGCUGUCGACUGGCAGCAUUUGACCAUGCAGACGCCACUCCAUGCUCAGUCAGUGAUCCUCCAGAGGUUGGCUAACCAACAUCUGGAUCAACCCAUAACGCUCUGCACAAUAAAACCAGAGACAUGUUGCUGCAGUUGUGAAUAAAGCCGUUUAAUGCGGAGGUUGGAGCCCGUGCAGAGCAGUGGAGGACAGCUGUAGGUCACUCACGGUAUCAGUCCAAUCAGUCCGCCAGACGCUGCUGAUCCCUAAUUUCAUUUAGCUAUUGACUAGUGAAGCUAAGUCCUUAUUAGCCUCUUUUAUUAACCACUAAUUAUGCUUCAGACAGCAGCCAGCUGUUUGCACGCAGCAGCUCUCCCUCCAGUUAGUGUGUGUGUGUGUGUGUGUGUGUGUGUGUGUGUGUGUGUGUGUGUGUGUGUGUGUGUGUGUGUGUGUGUGUGUGUGUGUGUGUGUGUGUCUGUGUGUGUGUGCAUCUGCGUGUGUGCGUGUCUUUGUGCGCGUGCAUCUCUGUGUGUGCGUUGAAUUAGCUUGUUUGUCACCUCAGGCUGGACGGAGCUGUGGCGUCCAUGGAAAUGUGCCGUUGUGGCCCCAGAGUGUUCAGCUUGUCUCCUCAUCACUCUUCUCCGUCUGAGGGAGCAGUUGGAAGCAGAUGACACGCCGGCGCGUUUGGAGUCGAACUAAAGAGAGAAGCAGUGUUUGUGUUUCCCGGCGUUGGGGUUUUGGAACAGCACAGUUCUGCGUGUUUGGAGCAGCACAUGUGCCGCGACCUCUUCCUGCUUGGAAAUCCAAGCGUGCACCGCCGGCUUCGCGGCGCAGCAGAAAACGAGCACGAAGCCGAGUCAGCAGUGAGGCGGCCAGCUGACAUCACGCACGUCGGUGGAACAUUAGCUUUAGCGAACUGCUCCCCCUUCGUUACAUCGUCUCUGCCACCACCCAGCGUGCGCUCUCUCCUCAUCGCCACCCACCUGAGUGACAGCCCCCCCCCCCCCCCCCCCCCACGCACAGCAGGGGGCCAGGCCCAGGGCUGGGCCACAGGAGGGAGAGGUGGAGGGUUGGAGGUGUUUGUUGGUGUCGAUUAGAGGAUCAGAGCUUCGGAUGAAGCCAGGUGGCUGUGGGAGGGCAGCCUCCUGACUCCAGCCCAUGUGAAGUCACCCAUUAUUCAAGCAGCAGUUUUACUUCUUGAUAGUGUGACUCAGACCCCUCAGAACUGCAGAACGUAUGAAUAGUUAUUAGUAGUUAUUGCAUUAUUACAUAGCUACUUGAUUGGUUGGUUUUGAAUAUUAAGAGAUUAUUGAUCUAGAUCCUCAUUACAUAAACUAAGUAACAGUCUGAUCAUAAUUAAAGGAAAAAUAAAACAUAAUUGUAACCCUAUAAAUGCACAGUGCAUAAACGCCCAUCUUGUCUUUAAGCAGCUGUAGCGCCUGAAGACGUCUUCAUCAAUAUUCAGUGGAACAGAUGGGGAUGAGGUUUAAUUUGACAGGCGAUCGUCCUGCUAACGUUUCCUUCCGUAUCAGUUACAAACCUCGACCCGUCUGCAGGUUCUGCCCUGUGUGGUCCCCAUCCAGGCCUGAGCUGAGAACACACACAGCCGCCUUCCACGGAUCCACGUGGGCUCCAUCAGCGCACAGAUCUAAAUCUGGGUUAACAGGCAGAGCUCAGCGCCGAGAGCCCAGGGAGACGCUCGUCUUUCUCAAAUUCAUUUCCCACAAAUCAUCUCAACCUGGAGCCUUUGCUGUAGCGUCUCACUCUGGACGUGUGGCUUAGAGGAAUUGGGACGAGAGAGGAACCCGUAGCUCCAUUGUGACGCUCAGUGCAAUAGUUAAUCCACACACCGAUGCACAAGAAUAUGAGCUAAGCCUUAUUGGGACCGGCAUUGUUUGCUGCUUGUCAUCUUGUGGAUCGAGGGGAGGUGUACCGUUGAGCAGGCAAGCUGCCAAGCGCAAACACUGAGGAAUAAAUGGUGCCGAGGCUCAACCGAGCCACUUCGCACCUAAGCCUGUGUUGAAUUAACACUGUUAUCAUAAACAAAACAUUAUGUUGGUGUGGAAGUGGGCUGAGCGGCGACAGAUGGUUAAGAGCAUUAGGCAGAUACCUGCCAAAGGGCACUUUUCUCCGUUUGGCCUAUUAGGAUUCACAGGCAGGCGCCCGUGGCAUAUGGCCCAGUAAAUACUGACUGAUCGUUUAAUUACCCUUUGAAUAAUCUAAUAAUUAAUCACAAACAGGACAGUUUCAGCUUCCAAGCACCGACGCAUAUGUGAAUGUGGAGCAUUUACAUUAGCGUUUACCUGAAGUGAGUCUAGCUCCUGUGCUUCACGGGCAGCAGGUUCUGGUUUGGACUCAAGGUCCGGUAUCGUCCUCUGUGUUCUGAGGAAGCUGCGACAGUGGCAGCGUUUUUACCUGACGAAGCCACGCGUUUCCUGCCUGUUUAGAGUCGUUCCCUGAUUAACAGACACAGACAUAAACAACACAACCUUUAUGUUGGAUCAUAUUUAAUAAGCCGAUGAUCUCAGUCAGUAGAGAAUGCCGAUUUCCAAAAUAACAACCGUAACCUUUGGUGCAGAGGCCGUUUAAAGGCUGUGGCUCGUUCAUCGUAGGAACACAUUACUCCAGCACUUAAAUCAUUUCAUUGGCUCCCACACAGGCUCAGAAAUAGCCAGUCAGGAGUCUGAGGUCACCAGGUUGUGGUUUUCUAACUGCACCUAGAAUAAGAUCCAGAUUUUUUAAAGAGGCCCUGGAUCGAACCUCAGAGUUCCUACUGUACGUGAACCGGUUGUACUGCAGCAGCUGGUAAAUGUAAAGAAAAUGAAAACGCCAACAGUGUCCACAAUGUACUGAAAGCCUGAAUAAAUACCUCAGAGGAGUUUCCCUUCUAUCAGUUUUUAUUAAAUAGCGUUUGGAGUUAACUGCUGUUUAAGUGACACUUAAAAGUUUACAAGUUUUCCAAAUUAUUCAAAUAAUUAAAAUGUCCCAUUUUGCACAAAUCUCGUGGUAAAAUGGAAACUUUUUCUAACAGAGAAAAAGUCCCUUUGAAAACCCUUCGGUCCAAAAAGAUCCACUUUUUAUGUUUUAUAUAGUCGACCUUUACUUCUACUCCACUCUACUAUAUAUACCAGCAGCUCUGUGUGUGAGAGAGAGAUGGGGUGUUUUGCAUCCUGUAAAGGGAUUGUAUCAAAAGAAAAGCAGGUCGGAGCUCGGCACAGAAACUGGGCUCUGAAUCAAAAAGGCUGCGAGAUGCUCCACACCUGGCAGCGCGUUCACAGCAGCUCCCUGUGCAGGCUGCAGCCUCCCGGAGACGGGCGCAGGGAUGGGGAAGGGGACGGGGAGGCGAGGAGCUGGAGCCCGUGCUCCGAGUGGGCGUGGGUGGGCGGGCGGAUACGCGCCGCGUCGCACAUGGAGCUCCUGGAAGGCCGGAGCGGCGCAGGAGGCUCGGCGUCCAGCAGCGCAGCACGCGAGAGCGGGCGGGCGGAGGAGGGACGGCUCCAGCGCCUCGCCGACCUCUGCCCCGCCGCGGCAGGAAAGCUGUUCAAAUAUUGGGCAACAGUUGGACGGACACAAACCUGCUGUGUAUAUUGUUCUACGGUGAUUGCAUGAAAUUCCCCUCUAAUUGCUCUUGUUCCUCCACAGGCCAAGCGCCGAUAUUGAGAACAUCUGAGCUUUCCAGUGCAAGCGUGUGUGCGUGUGUGUGUGUGCGGAGCUGGAGCGCGGCCUGGAAAAUGAGGCCGUGAGCUUUGACGGGUCGGAGCGAAGCUUUCACCUGCGUAUAUAUGACUUCACAGGUAGUCGAGCCUCAUCAAGCUGCCACACAGUCCAUGUCCAUACUCCUCCCUGACACAUUUAACUAACACAAACAGUAGUUACUCGGAAUUAGGAAAACAUGAUCUGAUGCUACAGUUGUUACCGUGGCUACUGACGCGUCUGUACAUCUUCCACACCUGGGUCAGACCCUCGUCUUCCUCACGGCUCAUUCAGGUGAUGAUGCCUCUGCUUCAGAUAAAGGCCAGUUUUGACCAGAGUUAAAGUCGGGACUGACCCUUGUUCAUUUGAGAGGGAGUUGUCUAUUAGUAGCUACUGUCUCACACCGUGACUCUCUCAGGUCUGAGGUUGUACUUGACUGUUUUUAGAUUUCAUUAGGUUUAGAUCCACACAAGCAGAAGGAUUCAGAAGGGACAGGAUUGUUCAUACCAGCAGAUGGUUUGAUGAAUACUAGCACUUUACUGAUCAGAGUGGUCAAGGUGGAGCCAUGCUGUAAGCGGUGUCUGGUAAUUGUUUAUAUAUAGUAUAUGUUACAUAUAGUAAUUCAUUUCUCUAGUAACUGUAGCUGUCAGAUCCAUGAAGGUCUCAGUAGCAAACAGAACUGUGAAGCUGGACUGCAUUUAGCUGCUUCCUGCCUGCUGCCCUGGCGUUUUACAUGCUGCUUCG